rnacentral:rRNA from 1 species
ACUCCUACGGGAGGCAGCAGUGAGGAAUAUUGCACAAUGGAGGAAACUCUGAUGCAGCCAUGCCGCGUGAAUGAAGAAGGUUUUAGGAUUGUAAAGUUCUUUCAGUGGUGAGAAUAGUGAUGUUAACCACAGAAGAAGUCCCGGCUAACUCCGUGCCAGCAGCCGCGGUAAUACGGAGGGGCGAACGUUAUUCGGAUUUACUGGGCGUAAAGCGAUCGUAGGCGGAUUGUUAAGUUAGAUGUGAAAGCCCCGGGCUCAACCUGGGAACUGCAUUUAAAACUGGCAAUCUAGAGUGUUGGAGAGGAUGACGGAAUUCCAAGUGUAGAGGUGAAAUUCGUAGAUAUUUGGAGGAACAUCAGUGGCGAAGGCGGUUGUCUGGCCAAAACACUGACGCUGAGGGUCGAAAGCGUGGGGAGCAAACAGGAUUAGAUACCCUGGUAGCGAGUAG